rnacentral:rRNA from 1 species
UACGUAGGGUGCGAGCGUUAAUCGGAAUUACUGGGCGUAAAGCGUGCGCAGGCGGUUUUGUAAGCCAGAUGUGAAAUCCCCGGGCUUAACCUGGGAAUGGCAUUUGGGACUGCAAGGCUUGAGUGCGGCAGAGGAGACUGGAAUUCCUGGUGUAGCAGUGAAAUGCGUAGAUAUCAGGAGGAACACCGGUGGCGAAGGCAGCUCUCUGGGACGGUACUGACGCUGAGACGCGAAAGCGUGGGGAGCGAACAGG